rnacentral:rRNA from 1 species
AACGAACGCUGGCGGCAUGCCUUACACAUGCAAGUCGAACGGCAGCAUGGAGAGCUUGCUCUCUGAUGGCGAGUGGCGAACGGGUGAGUAAUGCAUCGGAACGUACCGUGUAAUGGGGGAUAACGUAGCGAAAGUUACGCUAAUACCGCAUACGACCUGAGGGUGAAAGCAGGGGAUCGCAAGACCUUGCGUUAUACGAGCGGCCGAUGUCAGAUUAGCUAGUUGGUGAGGUAAAGGCUCACCAAGGCGACGAUCUGUAGCGGGUCUGAGAGGAUGAUCCGCCACACUGGGCCUGAGACACGGCCCAGACUCCUACGGGAGGCAGCAGUGGGGAAUUUUGGACAAUGGGGGCAACCCUGAUCCAGCCAUGCCGCGUGAGUGAAGAAGGCCUUCGGGUUGUAAAGCUCUUUCGGCCGGGAAGAAAUCGCACAGGCUAAUACUCUGUGUGGAUGACGGUACCGGCAUAAGAAGCACCGGCUAACUACGUGCCAGCCGCCGCCGUAAGAC